rnacentral:rRNA from 1 species
CCUACGUGUGGCAGCAGUGGGGAAUAUUGGACAAUGGGCGAAAGCCUGAUCCAGCCAUGCCGCGUGUGUGAAGAAGGCCUUCGGGUUGUAAAGCACUUUCAGUGGGGAAGAAAGCCUCGGGGCUAAUACCCUCGAGGAAGGACAUCACCCACAGAAGAAGCACCGGCUAACUCCGUGCCAGCAGCCGCGGUAAUACGGAGGGUGCGAGCGUUAAUCGGAAUUACUGGGCGUAAAGCGCGCGUAGGCGGUCUGAUAAGCCGGUUGUGAAAGCCCCGGGCUCAACCUGGGAACGGCAUCCGGAACUGUCAGGCUAGAGUGCGAGUGAGGAAGGUAGAAUUCCCGGUGUAGCGGUGAAAUGCGUAGAGAUCGGGAGGAAUACCAGUUGCGAAGGCGGCCGUCUGGACUGACACUGACGCUGAGGUGCGAAAGCGUGGGUAGCAAACAGGAUUAGAUACCCUAGUAGUC